rnacentral:lncRNA from 1 species
CAAAACUCAGGCUCAUAUACAUUAUUUUCUUCCUUUGAAAUGUAUCUCAAUUUCUUUUAUAUACGUAAACUUUGAGAUGCCUAUACCAUAUUUUGCAUAAACUUAACAAUUCUCAAUCAAAAUUAGGAAUCAGGAAAUAUGAAUAAUGAGAAUACCUCCAAAUUGCAAGAUUUUCAAAUUGUUGCAACAUAUAAGUAUAAAACGUUUUGAAUAUUAUCACUUAUGCCUUUGAAGAACUUUUGAAGAACCAAGAACUUCAUCAACUCCUUCGAUAGAGUCAUUCAAAUAUACCUCGACUCCAAAAGCUAAGAGUAUAAUUUAUCCCUCAAGACUAACAGUAGAUGGCUAGUCACUUAAACUAUAAAGUCCCUCAUCCUAUGGUGACCGACUUGUAGGCUCAAAAAGAACAGUCUUAGAAUUUUAUUGAGUCAUAAAAGUGCAACAGGGACCAUCCCUUACGUAAUGAAUAAAAAUCCACACCAAUAUCACAUUUAAGGCAUUAUCUAGCCUUCACAUUAUAAGUUAAGUGUGACUGAAGUUUCGAUACAUCCCAACACUUACAAAAUUAAGUCUCAUAUUUCAUCUCUCAUACACAAAAUUUCUACAUAUUCAUUCCUUUAGGGUUGUCAAGGCACCCUAAACAUUUCAAAAUUUAGGCUCAUAUAUGAAGGGUUUGUCUACAUUUGUAUAAAGCAGAAGAUUGAAAGUUCUUGUGAAAAUAGUUAGCCUAACAACAUGCACCAAAUAUUAUAAAACCAAAAGGAUUUGUGGAAAUUUCAUUACCUUGACUAACAAACAAAUUGUCUUUCAAAACAUCAGUACCAAAAGGGUCUCCAUACAAAAGCAAAGUUUGCUGAAUCAUUCUGGUACUACCAAUUCCACUAUUAAAAAAUUCAAGAAUUAAAACCUGAAAAGCAAGAGAGGUAUAAAUGUUACCAUUGAAGGUGAAACUGCAAAUUUUUAAAUUGCAUGUUUUAAAGAAGAUGAAAGGACCGAACAAUGUGUGUUUCAUCUUAUUUAAACACAUCAUAACCUCUGAAGAGGAAUGCAGAGAAGUAAGAGAAGUAAUGAGGCAUCCCAUAUAGCACGCAAUGACAAAUCACAGUCUAAAAGUGAACUCGAUGCCAUAAAAACACAACGAAUACUAGUAUUUUCGGAUUGACUUUUCCACAACUGGGUGCACGUCCCAAUGCCAUGUUUUCUGAGAAGCUACAAAAUGAAACUUCAGCACAGAUGUGUGUUUGGUGUGAUUCUACCAUGGAAACAGACAUGCAAUACAAAGCUUUAUAUUAUGAAUACAAAUUCAUAUCAAUAUCGCUCGCAUGUAAGACAUCAUCAAACUUUAAAUUAUGAUUGCAGUGUUCAUGAUGUUCCUUUUAGGGUCAAAUGAGGCAUCCCAUCUCAAAAUUCAUUGAACAAAUAAUAUUCAUAAUUCAUAUUCUUUUCGGGUCAUCGAGGCAUCCUAUAUUCCAUCUCAAUGUGGCAAUUUACAAUUUAGAAUUGCAUUCAGGGUUAUAAAAGCACACAAUGGAUCCAUCCAUUAUAUUACGAAUAAAAAUUCAUAACAAAAUCAAAUUUAAGGCAUCAUACAACUUUUACAUUGUGAGUGAAGUAUUCGUAAUGUUUCCUUUAGGGUCAUCGAGGCAUUCACACACCUGCAACAUUUAUAGAACAUAUAAUAUCCAUUGAUUCAUUUAGGAUCAUCAAGGCAUCUAACAUUUCAUCUCGUAGUGGCAAUCGAUAGUCUAGAAUUGCAUUCAGGGUUAUAAAAGUACGACGAAUCCAUCCCUUAUAUUAUGAAUAAAGAUUGAUAUUAGGGUCAUCGAUUUUUACAUUAUGAGUGAAGUGUUCAAAAUAUUUCCUUUAGGAUCAUUGAGGCAUCCAAACACUUGUAACAUUUAUGAAACAAAUCAUAAUCAUUAAUUCUUUUCGGGUCAUAGAGACAUUAUGAAUGAAUAAAAAUUCAUAACAAUUUCACAUUUAAGGCAUCAUCCAACCUUUAUAUUAUGGGUAAAGUGUUCAUAAUGUUUGCUUCAGGGUCAUUUAGGCAUCUUGUAACACUUCUGAGAUAAAUAAUAUCCAUCAAUUCCUUUCGGGUCAUCGAGGCAUCAUUUCAAAACCCAGGCUCAAAUAUCAUAUGGGUCAUCGAGGCAUGCAAACACUUGCAAUAUUUAUGGGACAAAUAAUAUCGAUCAAUUCCUUUCGGGUCAUUGAGACAUUAUAAUAAUUUCAAAACUCAGGCUCAUAUAUCAUAUUUGAGUGACAAUUCAUAGUCUAGAAUUGCACUCAAGAUCAUAUAUAAUCACUGAGACAUCUCAACAUUUAGAAAAUAGUUUCCUUUAAAAUCACCGAGGCAUCCCAACAUUUACAAAAUUUAAUGGGACAAAUUAUGUCCAUCAAUUCUUUUCGGGACAUCAAGGCAUCAUAAUAAUUUCAAAACUCAGGCUCAUAUAUUUGAGUGACAAUUCAUAGUCUAGAAUUGCACUCAAGAUCGUAAAAUCACUGAGGCAUCCCAACAUUUACAAAAUGUAGAUUUCUUUAAAAUCACCGAGGCAUCCCAACAUUUACAAAAUUUAAUGGGACAAAUAAUAUCCGUUAAUUAGGGUUGGGAAUAGGCCAGGCUGGCAUACAGGGGCCUACGGCCUAGCCUGUUUUGGCCUGGUCUGGCCUGACCUGUUUAGUAGAUAGGCUUAGGCUUAGGCUUUUUAAAAAGCUUGUUUAGUUAAAUAGGUCAGGCUUAGGCUUUCAGAAAAGCCUGUUAAGUCUAAUAGGCCGACCUAUUAAUACUUAUUUAUUAAAAAAUAUUUUUUAUAUUAAAAUAAUUGCAUAAAUUAAAAAUAUAAACAUCUUUUUCUCUAUCUAUUAGUCCCUAAAUAGGUUUUGUUGUUAUAGGCUUUUAAGUAGACUUUAAUCUAGUUAAAAUUUACUUGUAGUUAAAUAGGCUUUUAAGUAGGCUUUAAGGCAUGUUUAGCUUAUUUAGUAGGCCAAAUGAACUAUUUGAUGACCUUAAUAUAAAGUAGGCCUGUAAGUAGGCUUUCAGGCCAGUCCAGGCUUUUAAAUAGGUCAGGCCAGGCCAAGAAAAACGGCCUAUAAUAGGCCACAGGCCAGGCUCAGGCUUGUAAAUUUUUUCGUAGGCCAGGCUCAGGCCUAUCAAAGCCUGGCCUGGCCUAUUCCCACCCCUACCGUCAAUUCUUUUCGGGUCAUCGAUCAAGGCAUCGUAAUAAUUUCAAAACUCAGGCUCAUAUAUCAUAUCUGAGUGACAAUUUUAGUCUAGAAUUGCACUCAAGAUUGUAAAAUCACAGAUGCAUCCCAACAUUUACAAUAUUUAAUGGAAAAAAUAAUAUCCGUCAAUUCUUUUCGGGUCAUCGAUCAAGGCAUCGUAAUAAUUUCAAAACUCAGGCUCAUAUAUCAUAUCUGAGUGACAAUUUUAGUCUAGAAUUGCACUCAAGAUUGUAAAAUCACCGAGGCAUCCCAACAUUUACAAAAUUUAAUGGAACAAAUAAUUUCCGUCAAUUCUUUUCGGGUCAUCGAUCAAGGCAUCAUAAUAAUUUCAAAACUCAGGCUCAUAUAUCAUAUCUGAGUGACAAUUCUAGUCUAGAAUUGCACUCAAGAUCGUAAAAUCACCGACUCAUCCUAACAUUUACAAAAUUUAAUGGAACAAAUAAUAUCUGUCAAUUCUUUUCGGGUCAUCGAUCAAGACAUCGUAAUAAUUUCAAAACUCAGGCUCAUAUAUCAUAUCCGAGUGACAAUUCUAGUCUAGAAUUGCACUCAAGAUUGUAAAAUCACCGAGGCAUCCCAAAAUUUACAAAAUUUAAUGGAACGAAUAAUAUCUGUCAAUUCUUUUCGGGUCAUCGAUCAAGGCAUCGUAAUAAUUUCAAAACUCAGGCUUAUAUAUCAUAUCUGAGUGACAAUUUUAGUCUAGAAUUGCACUCAAGAUUGUAAAAUCACCGAGACAUCCCAACAUUUACAAAAUUUAAUGGAACAAAUAAUUUCCAUCAAUUCUUUUCGGGUAAUCGAUCAAGGCAUCGUAAUAAUUUCAAAACUCAGGCUCAUAUAUCAUAUCUGAGUGACAAUUUUAGUCUAGAAUUGCACUCAAGAUUGUAAAAUCACCGAGGCAUCCCAACAUUUACAAAAUUUAAUGGAACAAAUAAUUUCCGUUAAUUCUUUUCUGGUCAUCGAUCAAUACAUCCUAAUAAUUUCAAAACUCGGGCUCAUAUAUCAUAUCUGAGUGACAAUUCUAGUCUAGAAUUGCACUCAAGAUCGUAAAAUCACCGAGGCAUCCAAACAUUUACAAAAUUUAAUGGAACAAAUAAUAUCUGUCAAUUCUUUUCGGGUCAUCGACCAAGGCAUCCUAAUAAUUUCAAAACUCAGGCUCAUAUAUCAUAUCCGAGUGACAAUUCUGGUCUAGAAUUGCACUCAAGAUUGUAAAAUCACCGACGCAACCCAACAUUUACAAAAUUUAAUGGAACGAAUAAUAUCCGUCAAUUUUUUUCUUCCUUUGAAAUGUAUCUCAAUUUCUUUUAUAUACGUAAACUUUGAGAUGCCUAUUCCACAUUUUGCAUAAACUUAACAACUCUCAAUCAAAAUUAGGAAUCAGGAAAUAUGAAUAAUGAGAAUACCUCCAAAUUGCAAGAUUUUCAAAUUGUUGCAACAUAUAAGUAUAAAACGUUUUGAAUAUUAUCACUUAUGCCUUUGAAGAACUUUUGAAGAACCAAGAACUUCAUCAACUCCUUCGAUAGAGUCAUUCAAAUAUACCUCGACUCCAAAAGCUAAGAGUAUAAUUUAUCCCUCAAGACUAACAGUAGAUGGCUAGUCACUUAAACUAUAAAGUCCCUCAUCCUAUGGUGACCGACUUGUAGGCUCAAAAAGAACAGUCUUAGAAUUUUAUUGAGUCAUAAAAGUGCAACAGGUACCAUCCCUUACGUAAUGAAUAAAAAUCCACACCAAUAUCACAUUUAAGGCAUUAUCUAGCCUUCACAUUAUAAGUGAAGUUUCGAUACAUCCCAACACUUACACAAUUAAGUCUCAUAUUUCAUCUCUCAUACACAAAAUUUCUACAUAUUCAUUCCUUUAUGGUUGUCAAGGCACCCUAAACAUUUCAAAAUUUAGGCUCAUAUAUGAAGGGUUUGUCUACAUUUGUAUAAAGCAGAAGAUUGAAAGUUCUUGUGAAAAUAGUUAGCCUAACAACAUGCACCAAAUAUUAUAAAACCAAAAGGAUUUGUGGAAAUUUCAUUACCUUGACUAACAAACAAAUUGUCUUUCAAAACAUCAGUACCAAAAGGGUCUCCAUACAAAAGCAAAGUUUGCUGAAUCAUUCUGGUACUACCAAUUCCACUAUUAAAAAAUUCAAGAAUUAAAACCUGAAAAGCAAGAGAGGUAUAAAUUUUACCAUUGAAGGUGAAACUGCAAAUUUUUAAAUUGCAUGUUUUAAAGAAGAUGAAAGGACCGAACAAUGUGUGUUUCAUCUUAUUUAAACACAUCAUAACCUCUGAAGAGGAAUGUAGAGAAGUAAUGAGGCAUCCCAUAUAGCACGUAAUGACAAAUCACAGUCUAAAAGUGAACUCGAUGCCAUAAAAACACAACGAAUACUAGUAUUUUUGGAUUGACUUUUCCACAACUGGGUGCACGUCCCAAUGCCAUGUUUUCUGAGAAGCUACAAAAUGAAACUUCAGCACAGAUGUGUGUUUGGUGUGAUUCUACCAUGGAAACAGACAUGCAAUACAAAGCUUUAUAUUAUGAAUACAAAUUCAUAUCAAUAUCGCUCGCAUGUAAGACAUCAUCAAACUUUAAAUUAUGAUUGCAGUGUUCAUGAAGUUCCUUUUAGGGUCAAAUGAGGCAUCCCAUCUCAAAAUUCAUGGAACAAAUAAUAUUCAUGAUUCAUAUUCUUUUCGGGUCAUCGAGGCAUCCUAUAUUCCAUCUCAAUGUGGCAAUUUACAAUUUAGAAUUGCGUUCAGGGUCAUAAAAGCACACAAUGGAUCCAUCCAUUAUAUUACGAAUAAAAAUUCAUAACAAAAUCACAUUUAAGGCAUCAUACAACUUUUACAUUGUGAGUGAAGUAUUCGUAAUGUUUCCUUUAGUGUCAUCGAGGCAUCCACACACCUGCAACAUUUAUGGAACAUUUAAUAUCCAUUGAUUCAUUUAGGAUCAUCAAGGCAUCUAACAUUUCAUCUCGUAGUGGCAAUCGAUAGUCUAGAAUUGCAUUCAGGGUUAUAAAAGUACGACGAAUCCAUCCCUUAUAUUAUGAAUAAAGAUUGAUAUUAGGGUCAUCGAUUUUUACACUAUGAGUGAAGUGUUCAAAAUAUUUCCUUUAGGGUCAUUGAGGCAUCCAAACACUUGUAACAUUUAUGAAACAAAUCAUAUCCAUUAAUUUUUUUCGGGUCAUAGAUGCAUUAUGAAUGAAUAAAAAAAUUCAUAACAAUCUCACAUUUAAGGCAUCAUCCAACCUUUAUAGUAUGGGUAAAGUGUUCAUAAUGUUUGCUUCAGGGUCAUCUAGGCAUCUUGUCACACUUCUGAGAUAAAUAAUAUCCAUCAAUUCCUUUCGGGUCAUCGAGGCAUCAUUUCAAAACCCAGGCUCAAAUAUCAUAUGGGUCAUCGAGGCAUGCAAACACUUGCAAUAUUUAUGGGACAAAUAAUAUCGAUCAAUUCCUUUUGGGUCAUUGAGGCAUUAUAAUAAUUUCAAAACUCAGACUCAUAUAUCAUAUUUGAGUGACAAUUCAUAGUCUAGAAUUGCACUCAAGAUCAUAUAUAAUCACUGAGACAUCUCAACAUUUAGAAAAUAGUUUCCUUUAAAAUCACCGAGGCAUCCCAACAUUUACAAAAUUUAAUGGGACAAAUUAUGUCCAUCAAUUCUUUUCGGGACAUCAAGGCAUCAUAAUAAUUUCAAAACUCAGGCUCAUAUAUUUGAGUGACAAUUCAUAGUCUAGAAUUGCACUCAAGAUCGUAAAAUCACCAAGGCAUCCCAACAUUUACAAAAUUCAAUGGGACAAAUUAUAUCCGUCAAUUAUUUUCGGGUCAUCGAGGCAUCAUAAUAAUCUCAAAACUCAGGCUCAUAUAUCAUAUCUAAGUGACAAUUCUAGUCUAGAAUUGCACUCAAUAUCGUAAAAUCACCGAGGCAUCCAAACAUUUACAAAAUUUAAUGGAACAAAUAAUAUAUGUCAAUUCUUUUCAGGUCAUCGAUCAAGGCAUCGUAAUAAUUUCAAAACUCAGGCUCAUAUAUCAUAUCCGAGUGACAAUUCUAGUCUAGAAUUGCACUCAAGAUUGUAAAAUCACCGAGGCAUCCCAACAUUUACAAAAUUUAAUGGAACAAAUAAUAUCCGUCAAUUCUUUUCGGGUCAUCGAUCAAGGCAUCGUAAUAAUUUCAAAACUCAGGCUCAUAUAAAUUAUUUUCUUCCUUUUAAAUGUAUCUCAAUUUCUUUUAUAUACGUAAACUUUGAGAUGCCUAUACCAUAUUUUGCAUAAACUUAACAACUCUCAAUCAAAAUUAUGAAUCAGGAAAUAUGAAUAAUGAGAAUACCUCCAAAUUGCAAGAUUUUCAAAUUGUUGCAACAUAUAAGUAUAAAACGUUUUGAAUAUUAUCACUUAUGCCUUUGAAGAACUUUUGAAGAACCAAGAACUUCAUCAACUCCUUCGAUAGAGUCAUUCAAAUAUACCUCGACUCCAAAAGCUAAGAGUAUAAUUUAUUCCUCAAGACUAACACUAGAUGGCUAGUCACUUAAACUAUAAAGUCCCUCAUCCUAUGCUGACCGACUUGUAGGCUCAAAAAGCACAGUCUUAAAAUUUUAUUGAGUCAUAAAAGUGCAACAGGUACCAUCCCUUAUGUAAUGAAUAAAAAUCCACACCAAUAUCACAUUUAAGGCAUUAUCUAGCCUUCACAUUAUAAGUUAAGUGUGACUGAAGUUUCGAUAUAUCCCAACACUUACAAAAUUAAGUCUCAUAUUUCAUCUCUCAUACACAAAAUUUCUACAUAUUCAUUCCUUUAGGGUUGUCAAGGCACCCUAAACAUUUCAAAAUUUAGGCUCAUAUAUGAAGGGUUUGUCUACAUUUGUAUAAAGCAGAAGAUUGAAAGUUCUUGUGAAAAUAGUUAGCCUAACAACAUGCACCAAAUAUUAUAAAACCAAAAGGAUUUGUGGAAAUUUCAUUACCUUGACUAACAAACAAAUUGUCUUUCAAAACAUCAGUACCAAAAGGGUCUCCAUACAAAAACAAAGUUUGCUGAAUCAUUCUGGUACUACCAAUUCCACUAUUAAAAAAUUCAAGAAUUAAAACCUGAAAAGCAAGAGAGGUAUAAAUGUUACCAUUGAAGGUGAGACUGCAAAUUUUUUAAAUUGCAUGUUUUAAAGAAGAUGAAAGGACGGAACAAUGUGUUUCAUCUUAUUUAAACACAUCAUAACCUCUGAAGAGGAAUGCAGAGAAGUAAGAGAAGUAAUGAGGCAUCCCAUAUAGCACGCAAUGACAAAUCGCAGUCUAAAAGUGAACUCGAUGCCAUAAAAACACAACAAAUACUAGUAUGUUUGGAUUGACUUUUCCACAACUGGGUGCACGUCCCAAUGCCACGUUUUCUGAGAAGCUACAAAAUGAAACUUCAGCACAGAUGUGUGUUUGGUGUGAUUCUACCAUGAAAACAGACAUGCAAUACAAAGCUUUAUAUUAUGAAUACAAAUUCAUAUCAAUAUCGCUCGCAUGUAAGACAUCGUCAAACUUUAAAUUAUGAUUGCAGUGUUCAUGAUGUUCCUUUUAGGGUCAAAUGAGGCAUCCCAUCUCAAAAUUCAUGGAACAAAUAAUAUUCAUGAUUCAUAUUCUUUUCGAGUCAUCGAGGCAUCCUAUAUUCCAUCUCAAUGUGGAAAUUUACAAUUUAGAAUUGCAUUCAGGCUCGUAUAUCAUAUCUGAGCGACAAUUCUAGUCUAGAAUUGCACUCAAGAUCGUAAAAUCAACAGGGCAUCCCAACAUUUACAAAAUUCAAUGGAACAAAUUAUAUCCGUCAAUUCUUUUCGGGUCAUCGAGGCAUUAUAAUAAUUUCAAAACUCAGGCUCAUAUAUCAUAUCUGAGUGACAAUUAUAGUCUAGAAUUGCACUCAAGAUCGUAAAAUCACCGAGGCAUCCAAACAUUUACAAAAUUUAAUGGAAUAAAUAAUAUCCGUCAAUUCUUUUCGGGUCAUCGAUCAAAGCAUCGUAAUAAUUUCAAAACUCAGGCUCAUAUAUCAUAUCUGAGUGACAAUUUUAGUCAAGAAUUGCACUCAAGAUUGUAAAAUCACCGAGGCAUCCCAACAUUUACAAAAUGUAAUGGAACAAAUAAUAUCCGUCAAUUCUUUUUGGGUCAUCGAUCAAGGCAUCAUAAUAAUUUCAAAACUCAGGCUCGUAUAUCAUAUCCAAGUGACAAUUCUAGUCUAGAAUUGCACUCAAGAUUGUAAAAUCACCGAGGCAUCCCAACAUUUACAAAAUUUAAUGGAACAAAUAAUAUCAUUCUUUUCGGGUCAUGGAUCAAGGCAUCAUAAUAAUUUCAAAACUUAAGCUCAUAUAUCAUAUCUGAGAGACAAUUCUAGUCUAGAUUUGCACUCAAGAUUGUAAAAUCACCGAGGCAUCCCAACAUUUACAAAAUUUAAUGGAACAAAUAAUAUCCGUCAAUUAUUUUUGGGUCAUCGAUCAAGGCAUCAACAAUUGUAGUCUAGAAUUGCACUUAAGAUUGUAAAAUCACCGAGGCAUCCCAACAUUUACAAAUUUAAUGGAACAAAUAAUAUCCGUCAAUUCUUUUCGGGUCAUCGAUCAAGACAUUAUAAUAAUUUCAAAACUCAGACUCAGAUAUAAUAUAUGAGUGACAAUUCUAGUCUAGAAUUGCACUCAAGAUUGUAAAAUCACCUAGGCAUCAUUUACAAAAUUUAAGGAGCAAAAAGUAAUAUGCAUCGUUUCCAUCCAUUACCUAAGAUUGUAUCAUCCUUUUCAAAUUACCAAAAUUGAUUUCAACUCAAAGAGGCGAUCACAGUAAAGAAUUAAAUUCAUGUCAUAAAAGAUAUCAUCCAACUCUACAUUAUGAAUUUUUUUAAGUCAAGGAAACCUAACGGUUUCAACAUUUAGGCUCAAAUAUUGUGAAAAAGAAUGAUCUUGCAGAGUUUCACACGUUUAUGGGGUUUGUUAAAUUGUACAGGGCUGUUGUUGUUAAAGCAGAAAAUUGAAGGUUGUUGAAUAAGGAAGAAUAUAGGGUUUAUGAAUAUUCAAGAAUCAAAAUCUAAAAAUCAAGAUAAAGUUAGAAAUGUACCGUUGAAAAUGAAAGGGGGACAGAACAGAGCGUGUUUCGUCGCUUUCUUGAAGAAAAAAGAAUUCGGCAACGAUUCCUACGAAACCUUUGAAUCGGAACGGUAUUGAUUUUCAUGUUUCGAUUCUUUGAAUUAUUUUAGAUUUAACGCAGUGUUUUCCAUUUAUCGGCUUUUCUACUGGGCUUUUGAUUUUAAUGGCAUGUUGAGC